GACGUAGGGGGCGAGCGUUGUCCGGAAUUACUGGGCGUAAAGAGCACGUAGGCGGGAAUUUAAGUCAGAUGUGAAAGACCGGGGCUCAACCCCGGGGUUGCAUUUGAAACUGGAUUUCUUGAGGGCAGGAGAGGAAAGCAGAAUUCCUGGUGUAGCGGUGAAAUGCGUAGAAAUCAGGAGGAAUACCAGUGGCGAAGGCGGCUUUCUGGACUGUCCCUGACGCCGAGGUGCGAAAGCGUGGGUAG
rnacentral:rRNA from 1 species